CGCUGGCGGCGUGUNCUAAUACAUGCAAGNUCGAGCGGUAAGGUCUCUUCGGAGAUACACGAGCGGCGGACGGCUGAGUAACACGUAGGAACCUACCCCAAACUGAGGGAUAAGCACCAGAAAUGGUGUCUAAUACCGCAUGUGCUCUUCGGAGUAAAGCUACGGCGGUUUGGGAAGGGCCUGCGUCCGAUUAGCUUGUUGGUAAGGUAAAAGCUUACCAAGGCGACGAUCGGUAGCUGGUCUGAGAGGAUGAUCAGCCAGACUGGGACUGAGAACGGCCCAGACUCCUACGGGAGGCAGCAGUAGGGAAUUUUCCACAAUGGGCGAAAGCCUGAUGGAGCAACGCCGCGUGCAGGAUGAAUGCCUUCGGGUUGUAAACUGCUUUUAUAUGUGAAGAUUAUGACGGUAGCAUAUGAAUAAGGAUCGGCUAACUCCGUGCCAGCCGCCG
rnacentral:rRNA from 1 species